rnacentral:rRNA from 1 species
GACGAACGCUGGCGGCGUGCUUAACACAUGCCAGUCGAACGGAAAGGCCCUGCUUUUGUUGGGUGCUCGAGUGGCGAAGGGGUGAGUAACACGUGAGUAAGCUGCCCUUGACUUUGGGAUAACUUCAGGAAACUGCGGCUACUACCGGAUAGGAGCUCCUGCUGCAUGGGGGGGGUUGGAAAGUUUCGGCGGUUGGGGAUGGACGCGAGGCUUAUCAGCUUGUUGGUGGGGUAGUGGCUUACCAAGGCAUUGACGGGUAGCCGGCCUGAGAGGGUGACCGGCCACAUUGGGACUGAGAUACGGCCCAGACUCCUACGGGAGGCAGCAGUGGGGAAUAUUGCACAAUGGGCGGAAGCCUGAUGCAGCAACGCCGCGUGCGGGAUGACGGUCCUGGGGUUGUAAACCGCUUUCGCCUGUGACGAAGCGUGAGUGACGGUAAUGGGUAAAGAAGCACCGGCUAACUACGUG